AACUAGGGAGACAGACGCUCAAAAUAUAUAUGGUCAUGGUUAUUUUAGAUUGCAAAGUACUUUCAGCCUCUAAUGGAUUCAGAGGGAAUAUCUCUGAAACUCGGGCUUAGGGCCUCUAGGAACCUACAGUACAGCACUAACCCGGUUUGGAUGUAGGAUGUAGGCUAUGGGCUAGAUUCAAUCAGAUCUGUCUUAACCCGCGAUAACCGACAACUGCAUAGCAGCAUUAUUGUUUUAUUUGGGCGAUGUAGGAGGUGGAACUGCGUUGGAGCUGUCAAAUCAGCAAGCGGCUCCUUGCGUUAUACUUGUAGCGGACAUUGCCAUUGGAUGCACCGAGUUGCAUUAGUAGAAAUCCUAUGCAGCCUUGCUACAAGUUCCAACACUGGAACAUGUGUUGUAAUCUACAACUCGAUUAGGCUGAUAUCAACCCUUAUUUCAUUUAAUAAUUUUAAACUUGACUGUCAUUUCUACAGAGCCUACACUUUCUCGUUCUGAACUUUCUAACACGGGUGGGAUUUAGGGACAGGUGUGGUUUCGUGACAAUGACGACAAGAGCAGCCGCUCACCGAUUUGACCGCUCCGAACCCAGUUACACCUCCGACGUCGCCUAAAUAAAAGGAAAAAAACUGCUAUGCAUUCGGCGGUUAUUGCUGUUUAAGGGUUCUAUUCAAUCUGUAUCGUUGAAGCGUUCCUGAUUGUGCGAUAGAAAAGUCAAGGUCAUUUCCGUUUGAGUCGACAUAAUGCAGCCUCUGCUAACACGGGAACAUUUCAAUCACGCUGUAAUAGAGCCCUAACGCUGGAACUAAUUGAAUCUAGGGCUGAGUCUGUUUGGAUGUUGGCUAUGUCUGCAGCGAUGGCUUUCUGCUCCUCCUGCUGACCAGACAGAUGACUAGAAGAAGCAGAAACAGGAGUGCUACCCCACCAGUCCCUCCAGAGACAAUGAUGGGGACCAUGAAUGCUGAGGAAAAGGGAAGUGGAAGGAGGCAGAGUGGUUGACUGCUGGCGUAGUCUCUGUUCUGUUGGACCCAGAGAAGUCCAGAUAGAAGAGGCCUCCAGGAUACUGUGGCUGAAUGGAGCAGGUGAUGGAGAAGCUGUGGCCCCUGAUCACCUCUGGCCCAUGAGGUUCCCAAAACAUCCCUCCAUUUGGAGGACUGAGAGAGAUGUUGGGCUGUAGCAGGACCACUGGAAAGGAAGUAAACAGCAAUAUGACAGUAAUGUGAUUCCAUUUUCACACCUUGAAACUGAGAAAGGUGUGUAUGAUGGACAAGGUAGUCCAUCGCUCAUCUCUAUCAAGGCUAUGAAUCUUAAAUAUAUAGAUUAGGCAGCACUUGUUUCCAACUACCACCUCACCUUUAGUAACGUUGCUGUAAGGGGAGCUGAUGGCUUGGCUGUUGGAGAGGGUUCUGUAGAGACAGCUGUAACUGCCCUGGUGUGAAUCGUCCAUCUUAAACUUUGUUAAAGUAGCCCUGGGCUGUGAGGAUCCAACGGUCACAUUCAUGACGGAGUCUCCAUUCAGAUAGAAGAUGAAUUCCACAGCAUUACAGAGGAUACGGAAUGGAAGAGUGCAGGUGAGUUGGACCUCCUCUCCAUGCAAGAAGGCAGAAUAGGACGGGUCUGUGUAGAGUGAAGGCUUCUGCAAGACAACACCUGUUGGUCAAAGAGAUGUCAUUUAGUCAGGCAACAGUAACCACAACCUGGGGUGCCUUCAGAAAGUAUUUACACUCCUUUUUCCACAUUUUGUUGUGUUUCAGCCUGAUUUUAAAAUAGAUUAACAUUGACAUUUUGUGUCACUGGACUACAAACAAUACUGUGUAAUUAUGUUUUCUGAGUUUUUUAAACAAAUGAAUAUAAAAUGAAAGCUGAAGUGUCUUGAGUCAAUAAGUAUUCAACCCCUUUGUUUUGGCAAGCCUAAAUAAGUUCAGUAGUAAAAAUUUGCUUAAGUCACAUAAGUUGCAUUCUGUGUGGAAUAAUUGUGUUCAACAUGAUUUUUGAAUGACUACUUCAUCUCUGUACCCUGCACAUAAAACUAUCUGUAAGGUCCCUCAGUCGAGCAGUGAACUUCAUACACAGAUUCAACCACAAAUUCCAGGGAGGUUUUCCAACGCCUCGCAAAGAAAGGCACCUAUUGUUAGAUGGGUAAAAAUAAAAUAAAGCAGGCACUGAAUAUCCCUUUGAGCAUGAUGCAGUUAUUAAUUACCCUUUGGAUGGUGUAUCAAUACACCCACUCACCACUGGUGUCCCCCAGGGCUCUGUUCUAGGCCCUCUCCUAUUCUCGCUAUACACCAAGUCACUUGGCUCUGUCAUAUCCUCACAUGGUCUCUCCUAUCAUUGCUAUGCAGACUACACACAAUUAAUCUUCUCCUUUCCCCCUUCUGAUAACCAGGCGGCGAAUCGCAUCUCUGCAUGUC
rnacentral:lncRNA from 8 species